rnacentral:rRNA from 1 species
UACGUAGGGUGCAAGCGUUGUCCGGAAUUAUUGGGCGUAAAGAGCGUGUAGGCGGCCCGAUUAGUCCGCUGUGAAAGUCCAGGGCUCAACCCUGGAAUGCCGGUGGAUACUGUCGGGCUAGAGUCCGGAAGGGGCGAGUGGAAUUCCUGGUGCAGCGGUGAAAUGCGCAGAUAUCAGGAGGAACACCCGUGGCUAAGGCGGCUCUCUAGUACGGUACUGACGCUGAGACGCGAAAGCGUGGGGAGCGAACAGG